rnacentral:rRNA from 1 species
ACUCAAAUGAAUUGACGGGGACUCGCACAAGCGGUGGAGCAUGUGGUUCAAUUCGAUGGUAAACGAAGAACCUUACCAGGGCUUGACAUUACUCUGACGGUGCCCGAAAGGGUUACCUUCUCACAAGGACAGAGCAACAGGUGCUGCAUGGCUGUCGUCAGUUCGUGGCUUGAGUUGUUCCCUUAAGUGGGGUAACGAACGCAACCCUUAUCUCGCGUUACAAGUGUCGCGAGAGACUGCCUCGAUAAACGGGGAGGAAGGCGGGGAUGACGCCAAGUCCGCAUGGCCCUCUGAUGCCCUGGGCUACACACGUGCUACAAUGCUUUCUACAAUGGGUCGCGAUGCCGCAAGGCGGAGCUAAUCUCAUCAAAGGAAAGCUCAGUUCGGAUUGAGGUCUGCAACCCGACCUCAUGAAGUUGGAAUCGCUAGUAAUCGCAGGUCAGCUAUACUGCGGUGAAUACGUUCUCGAGUCUUGUACACACCGCCCGU